GGAGAGAUGCCGGAGUGGUCGAUCGGGGCGGUCUCGAAAACCGUUGUACUUUUUGAGUACCCAGGGUUCGAAUCCCUGUCUCUCCG
rnacentral:tRNA from 1 species